rnacentral:rRNA from 1 species
GAUGAACGCUAGCGGCAGGCCUAAUACAUGCAAGCCGAACGGCAAGUUUUGUAGCAAUACGGAACCUAGAGUGGCGUAAGGGUGCGUAACACGUAUGCAAUCUGCCCUCAACAGGAGGAUAGCUCCCCGAAGGGGAAGUUAAGUCCUCCAUGGGAGUCGUAGGGAGGGCAUCUUCCAGCGAUUAAAUUACAAGAGGUUGAGGAUGAGCAUGCGCAUGAUUAGA